UACAGAGGUCUCAAGCGUUGUUCGGAUUCAUUGGGCGUAACGGGUGCGUAGGCGGCGCGGUAAGUCGGGUGUGAAAUCUCGGAGCUUAACUCCGAAACUGCAUUCGAUACUGCCGUGCUUGAGGACUGGAGAGGAGACUGGAAUUUACGGUGUAGCGGUGAAAUGCGUAGAUAUCGUAAGGAAGACCAGUGGCGAAGGCGGGUCUCUGGACAGUUCCUGACGCUGAGGCACGAAGGUCAGGGGAGCAAACGGG
rnacentral:rRNA from 1 species